rnacentral:rRNA from 1 species
CUCCGGUUGAUCCUGCCGGACCCGACUGCUAUCAGAGUGGGACUAAGCCAUGCGAGUCAACAUAGCAAUAUGUGGCAUACGGCUCAGUAACACGUAGUCAACAUGCCCAGGGGACGUGGAUAACCUCGGGAAACUGAGGAUAAACCGCGAUAGGUCAUCACUUCUGGAAUGGGUAAUGACUUAAAUCUAUAUGGCCCCUGGAUUGGACUGCGGCCGAUCAGGCUGUUGGUGAGGUAAUGACCCACCAAGGCGAUUACAGGUACGGGCUCUGAGAGGAGAAGCCCGGAGAUGGGUACUGAGACACGGACCCAGGCCCUAUGGGGCGCAGCAGGCGAGAAACCUUAGCAAUGUGCGAAAGCACGACUGGGUCAGUCCGAGUGAUUCCUGAUAAAGGAGUCUUUUGCUUGUCCUAAAAGCACAGGUGAAUAAGGGGUGGGCAAGUCUGGUGUCAGCCGCCGCGGUAAUACCAGCACCUCGAGUGGUCAGGACGUUUAUUGGGCCUAAAGCAUCCGUAGCCGGCUCUGCAAGUCUUCGGUUAAAUCCACCUGCUCAACAGAUGGGCUGCUGGAGAUACUACAGAGCUAGGGAGUGGGAGAGGCAGACGGUAUUCAGUGGGUAGGGGUAAAAUCCUCUGAUCCAUUGAGGACCACCAGUGGCGAAGGCGGUCUGCCAGAACACGUUCGACGGUGAGGGAUGAAAGCUGGGGGAGCAAACCGGAUUAGAUACCCGGGUAGUCCCAGCUGUAAACGAUGCAAACUCGGUGAUGCAUUGGCUUAUGGCCAAUGCAGUGCCGCAGGGAAGCCGUUAAGUUUGCCGCCUGGGAAGUACGGACGCAAGUCUGAAACUUAAAGGAAUUGGCGGGGGAGCA